GGGAGUGUAGUGUGAAUGGUAGCACGCGAGUUUUGGGUACUCGUUGUCCAGGUUCGAGUCCUGGCUCUCCGA
rnacentral:tRNA from 1 species